GACGAACGCUGGCGGCGUGCUUAACACAUGCAAGUCGAACGGAAAGGCCCUUCGGGGUACUCGAGUGGCGAACGGGUGAGUAACACGUGGGUGAUCUGCCCUGCACUUUGGGAUAAGCCUGGGAAACUGGGUCUAAUACCGAAUAGGACCACGCGCUUCAUGGUGUGUGGUGGAAAGCUUUUGCGGUGUGGGAUGGGCCCGCGGCCUAUCAGCUUGUUGGUGGGGUAAUGGCCUACCAAGGCGACGACGGGUAGCCGGCCUGAGAGGGUGACCGGCCACACUGGGACUGAGAUACGGCCCAGACUCCUACGGGAGGCAGCAGUGGGGAAUAUUGCACAAUGGGCGCAAGCCUGAUGCAGCGACGCCGCGUGAGGGAUGACGGCCUUCGGGUUGGAAACCUCUUUCACCAGGGACGAAGCGUAAGUGACGGUACCUGGAGAAGAAGCACCGGCCAACUACGUGC
rnacentral:rRNA from 1 species